rnacentral:rRNA from 1 species
AUUGAACGCUGGCGGCAGGCUUAACACAUGCAAGUCGAGCGGGGGAAGGUAGCUUGCUACCGGACCUAGCGGCGGACGGGUGAGUAAUGCUUAGGAAUCUGCCUAUUAGUGGGGGACAACAUCUCGAAAGGGAUGCUAAUACCGCAUACGUCCUACGGGAGAAAGCAGGGGAUCUUCGGACCUUGCGCUAAUAGAUGCGCCUAAGUCGGAUUAGCUAGUUGGUGGGGUAAAGGCCUACCAAGGCGACGAUCUGUAGCGGGUCUGAGAGGAUGAUCCGCCACACUGGGACUGAGACACGGCCCAGACUCCUACGGGAGGCAGCAGUGGGGAAUAUUGGACAAUGGGCGCAAGCCUGAUCCAGCCAUGCCGCGUGUGUGAAGAAGGCCUUAUGGUUGUAAAGCACUUUAAGCGAGGAGGAGGCUACUUUAGAUAAUACCUAGAGAUAGUGGACGUUACUCGCAGAAUAAGCACCGGCUAACUCUGUGCCAGCAGCCGCCGUAA